CAUAAUGGCCGAAAAUCUAAGGUUUCUUGGGGAAGGUUCGUCCGCCCAAGGUAAGUCGGGAGCUAAGGCGAGGCCGCGAGGCGUAGUCGAUGCACAUACGGUAGAAAUUCCGUAACCACCGAAACUUAAGUCAGAGGGACACUUUGGAAUAGCAGAACCCGGGCGUUGGUUGACCCGGGCGUAAGGGAGCGAAAUUUAAGUAGCGAAGUCUGCGAUGUCCAGAGGCGAGAAAAGCUCUGAGGAAUGCUAAGGUGCCCGUACCGCAAACCGACACAGGUAGAUGAGGAGAGAAUCCUAAGGCCAACGGGAGAAGGGUUGUUAAGGAACUCGGCAAAUUGACCCCGUAACUUCGGAAGAAGGGGAGCCCCCUACGGGGGGUCGCAGAGAAAUGGCCCAAGCAACUGUUUACCAAAAACACAGGUCUAUGCUAAAUCGAAAGAUGACGUAUAUGGGCUGACGCCUGCCCGGUGCCGGAAGGUUAAGAGGAGAGCUUAGCGCAAGCGAAGGUUUGAAUUGAAGCCCCGGUAAACGGCGGCCGUAACUAUAACGGUCCUAAGGUAGCGAAAUUCCUUGUCAGGUAAGUUCUGACCCGCACGAAUGGCGUAAUGAUUUGGGCACUGUCUCGACAGCCCGCCCGGCGAAAUUGUAGUACUGGUGAAGAUGCCAGUUACCCGCAACUAGACGGAAAGACCCCAUGGAGCUUUACUGCAGCUUAAUACUGAAAUUCGGUAGUACAUGUACAGGAUAGGUGGGAGACUGAGAAAUACAGGCGUCAGCUUGUAUGGAGUCGCUGUUGGGAUACCACUCUUGUACUGCUGAGUUUCUAACCUGCGGCCGUGAAUCCGGUCGGGGGACACUGUUAGGCGGGCAGUUUGACUGGGGCGGUCGCCUCCCAAAAGGUAACGGAGGCGCUCAAAGGUUCGUUCAGCACGGACGGAAAUCGUGCAGUGAGUGUAAACGCAGAAACGAGCCUAACUGCGACACCGACGGGUGGAGCAGUAACGAAAGUUGGAGUUAGUGAUCCGGUGGUAUGUGAGUGGAAAUGCCAUCGCUCAACGGAUAAAAGCUACCCUGGGGAUAACAGGCUGAUCUCCCCCAAGCGU
rnacentral:rRNA from 1 species